CUGGAGCUGAGAAGCCAAUGGACCAGGAGGGACGUGGAGCCAGACGCAGCACGGACCCUGGAGCCGAACAAGAUUAACCCCAGAUCAUCUCCGAUCUUCUGCAAAGGAUUCGCCGGAGUCCUUCCAGACCCAGACAUGACUGAAAGUUCAUGGAGUGGGAUGCAAUGGGAAGAGACAGGACAUCUCUGGGUGAGCAAGGAGAGAGCCUGUGUGACAUUCUGCAGCAAAGAUAAAAAACUUCCCAUUCGGCACAAGGAGCACAGGAGAGAAAGGUGGAGAGUCGCUCCUCCCCGGUUAACCUCCCCUUCCCAGUCCCCUCUGGUAUUCUCCCCUCUCCACGAGACCAUCAACUCAGCGAGGGGCCCUCAACAAGCAAGAGCUGGAGGAGGAGGACAAAAAGAGAGGCAGAAAGAGGGAGAAGGGCAGCCCCUGUGAAGACAUACUCUGCCACACUGGGCCAUUUUUGCUGCAGUUUGUAGGCUGCUAGGUGCCAGGAAGCCAUUUUGAUGGAAUCAAAUGCUGUUUGUAAGAUGGCCGCAUUGGCACGAGAUUCCUGUGACUGGCGACUGGCAAGUGGCUGGGCACCUUCGGUUUCUUUGUUAAACUUCACCACAGCUGAAACCCGCCGAGGACUUUUCGCAUCACAUACAACUACUCAUCGACCAAUGUACCAGGCAACUAUUUUACAAAUGGCCCAGAGAAGAGGCUGCUUGGACGCUGGCCCUCGAGGGCUUUCAGGAUUGCAGUUGAAGAGGGUGAGGUGUGUGGAGCAGCAGAAAACUUUAACUUGCUGUCAGCUGUACAAUGAAUGCAUCUCUGGUGAAUCUUUUGUGGUCACCUUUGCUGCUCUGUAACCCCUGGAUAUCACAGUCCUCCUCACUCUCCUGUUCAAACUGCCCAGCCUAGCUGGGGAGAGACCGGAAAGCAAAUGCCUCGACUGGAAAAAACAAAGCUAUUGCAUGUCUGAGGGUAGGCUGCGAAGUACUGAGAAAGCACCACUGGACUCCAUGUGGAAAAGUUUGGCCUGCUUUACUGCACUGAGAACGCACCCUAUUAAUGCCCGAGACAACUGUACCUUCUGUGUGUUUGUAAAAACGGUGUUGUCUAUAGUUGCAAGAUUCCCAGUCAUUACAGAAUAAACUGUGUAUGUGGGGCAGUAUUUUCACUAAGGCUUGAGGGAUGGGUGCCUGCCCCUCUGCUCCCCCAGCCUAUUUCAUCCCUCUUUUUGUUUGUUUUUUAAUAGAUACUGAUUCUUCAACGCAAACUUAUUCUUAGGUGCAAACAUGCCCACCUGUGGUUGUGUAGAUCCCUGCUGAUGUGUUUCAGGUGUCUUUGUUCUUGUAAAAGACACAUUCGCUUCCCCCCACCACUUGUUUAAACAAAGCGAUGUUUAAAAUAAA